GGACGAUAGUUACUUUUUAUCUUUGACUUUAAAUUAUUGUUAUUCCCUGUGUCAAAUAUCGAAUCCCCGAAGAAAAACACGGCCGGUAUGGUUUUGUUUUCUGGCUUAGGUGGUAAUGGGGCAGGUGGGCUAGGUUUUGGUUUUGGCGAUGGAGCAGGUGGGCUAGGUUUUGGUGACGGGGCAGGUGGUGGUACAGGUUUCGGAACUGGACUAGGUGGUUUAGGUGGUGGCGGUGAUGGGCCUGGCUUUGGUGAUGGAGCAGGUGCUGGUGGUGGCUUUGGUUGCGGCUUUGGUGGUUGAGGUGGGCAUGGAGACGGGGCAGGUGCUGGUGGUGGCUUUGGCUGAGGCUUAGGUGGUUUGGUUGCGGCUUAGGUGGUGGGCAUUGAGAUGGACCAGGGGCUGGUGGUGGUUUUGGUUGAGGCUUAGGUGGUAUUGGUGGACAUGCCGAUGGACCAGGCGCUGGUGGUGGCUUUGGUUGCGGCUUAGGUGGUAUUGGUGGGCGUGGAGAUGGGCCAGAUGGUGGACCAGGAUUUGGUGAUGGGCCUGGUGGUGGGCCAGGUUCUGGUGGUUCCAUUGGCCAUGGAUACGGCCAAGGCAUUGAUGGCCAAGGUAUUGAUGGCCACGGCCAGAGCC
rnacentral:lncRNA from 1 species